rnacentral:tRNA from 1 species
GGGGCCGUAGCUCAGUUGGGAGAGCGCUUGAAUCGCACUCAAGAGGUCAGGGGUUCAACUCCCCUCGGCUCCACCA